rnacentral:rRNA from 2 species
GGUUAAGCGACUAAGCGUACACGGUGGAUGCCCUGGCAGUCAGAGGCGAUGAAGGACGUGCUAAUCUGCGAUAAGCGUCGGUAAGGUGAUAUGAACCGUUAUAACCGGCGAUUUCCGAAUGGGGAAACCCAGUGUGUUUCGACACACUAUCAUUAACUGAAUCCAUAGGUUAAUGAGGCGAACCGGGGGAACUGAAACAUCUAAGUACCCCGAGGAAAAGAAAUCAACCGAGAUUCCCCCAGUAGCGGCGAGCGAACGGGGAGCAGCCCAGAGCCUGAAUCAGUGUGUGUGUUAGUGGAAGCGUCUGGAAAGGCGCGCGAUACAGGGUGACAGCCCCGUACACAAAAAUGCACAUACUGUGAGCUCGAUGAGUAGGGCGGGACACGUGGUAUCCUGUCUGAAUAUGGGGGGACCAUCCUCCAAGGCUAAAUACUCCUGACUGACCGAUAGUGAACCAGUACCGUGAGGGAAAGGCGAAAAGAACCCCGGCGAGGGGAGUGAAAAAGAACCUGAAACCGUGUACGUACAAGCAGUGGGAGCACGCUUCGGCGUGUGACUGCGUACCUUUUGUAUAAUGGGUCAGCGACUUAUAUUCUGUAGCAAGGUUAACCGAAUAGGGGAGCCGAAGGGAAACCGAGUCUUAACUGGGCGUUAAGUUGCAGGGUAUAGACCCGAAACCCGGUGAUCUAGCCAUGGGCAGGUUGAAGGUUGGGUAACACUAACUGGAGGACCGAACCGACUAAUGUUGAAAAAUUAGCGGAUGACUUGUGGCUGGGGGUGAAAGGCCAAUCAAACCGGGAGAUAGCUGGUUCUCCCCGAAAGCUAUUUAGGUAGCGCCUCGUGAACUCAUCUUCGGGGGUAGAGCACUGUUUCGGCAAGGGGGUCAUCCCGACUUACCAACCCGAUGCAAACUGCGAAUACCGGAGAAUGUUAUCACGGGAGACACACGGCGGGUGCUAACGUCCGUCGUGAAGAGGGAAACAACCCAGACCGCCAGCUAAGGUCCCAAAGUCAUGGUUAAGUGGGAAACGAUGUGGGAAGGCCCAGACAGCCAGGAUGUUGGCUUAGAAGCAGCCAUCAUUUAAAGAAAGCGUAAUAGCUCACUGGUCGAGUCGGCCUGCGCGGAAGAUGUAACGGGGCUAAACCAUGCACCGAAGCUGCGGCAGCGACACUAUGUGUUGUUGGGUAGGGGAGCGUUCUGUAAGCCUGUGAAGGUGUGCUGUGAGGCAUGCUGGAGGUAUCAGAAGUGCGAAUGCUGACAUAAGUAACGAUAAAGCGGGUGAAAAGCCCGCUCGCCGGAAGACCAAGGGUUCCUGUCCAACGUUAAUCGGGGCAGGGUGAGUCGACCCCUAAGGCGAGGCCGAAAGGCGUAGUCGAUGGGAAACAGGUUAAUAUUCCUGUACUUGGUGUUACUGCGAAGGGGGGACGGAGAAGGCUAUGUUGGCCGGGCGACGGUUGUCCCGGUUUAAGCGUGUAGGCUGGUUUUCCAGGCAAAUCCGGAAAAUCAAGGCUGAGGCGUGAUGACGAGGCACUACGGUGCUGAAGCAACAAAUGCCCUGCUUCCAGGAAAAGCCUCUAAGCAUCAGGUAACAUUAAAUCGUACCCCAAACCGACACAGGUGGUCAGGUAGAGAAUACCAAGGCGCUUGAGAGAACUCGGGUGAAGGAACUAGGCAAAAUGGUGCCGUAACUUCGGGAGAAGGCACGCUGAUAUGUAGGUGAAGUCCCUCGCGGAUGGAGCUGAAAUCAGUCGAAGAUACCAGCUGGCUGCAACUGUUUAUUAAAAACACAGCACUGUGCAAACACGAAAGUGGACGUAUACGGUGUGACGCCUGCCCGGUGCCGGAAGGUUAAUUGAUGGGGUUAGCGGUAACGCGAAGCUCUUGAUCGAAGCCCCGGUAAACGGCGGCCGUAACUAUAACGGUCCUAAGGUAGCGAAAUUCCUUGUCGGGUAAGUUCCGACCUGCACGAAUGGCGUAAUGAUGGCCAGGCUGUCUCCACCCGAGACUCAGUGAAAUUGAACUCGCUGUGAAGAUGCAGUGUACCCGCGGCAAGACGGAAAGACCCCGUGAACCUUUACUAUAGCUUGACACUGAACAUUGAGCCUUGAUGUGUAGGAUAGGUGGGAGGCUUUGAAGUGUGGACGCCAGUCUGCAUGGAGCCGACCUUGAAAUACCACCCUUUAAUGUUUGAUGUUCUAACGUUGACCCGUAAUCCGGGUUGCGGACAGUGUCUGGUGGGUAGUUUGACUGGGGCGGUCUCCUCCUAAAGAGUAACGGAGGAGCACGAAGGUUGGCUAAUCCUGGUCGGACAUCAGGAGGUUAGUGCAAUGGCAUAAGCCAGCUUGACUGCGAGCGUGACGGCGCGAGCAGGUGCGAAAGCAGGUCAUAGUGAUCCGGUGGUUCUGAAUGGAAGGGCCAUCGCUCAACGGAUAAAAGGUACUCCGGGGAUAACAGGCUGAUACCGCCCAAGAGUUCAUAUCGACGGCGGUGUUUGGCACCUCGAUGUCGGCUCAUCACAUCCUGGGGCUGAAGUAGGUCCCAAGGGUAUGGCUGUUCGCCAUUUAAAGUGGUACGCGAGCUGGGUUUAGAACGUCGUGAGACAGUUCGGUCCCUAUCUGCCGUGGGCGCUGGAGAACUGAGGGGGGCUGCUCCUAGUACGAGAGGACCGGAGUGGACGCAUCACUGGUGUUCGGGUUGUCAUGCCAAUGGCACUGCCCGGUAGCUAAAUGCGGAAGAGAUAAGUGCUGAAAGCAUCUAAGCACGAAACUUGCCCCGAGAUGAGUUCUCCCUGACUCCUUGAGAGUCCUGAAGGAACGUUGAAGACGACGACGUUGAUAGGCCGGGUGUGUAAGCGCAGCGAUGCGUUGAGCUAACCGGUACUAAUGAACCGUGAGGCUUAACCUUACAACGCCGAAGCUGUUUUG